AGCGAACGCUAGCGGCGGGCUUAACACAUGCAAGUCGAGCGCUUCACUUCGGUGAAGAGCGGCGGACGGGUGAGUAACACGUAGGUUACCUGCCCCUGGGUGAGGGACAACCGAGGGAAACCUCGGCUAAUACCACAUAUGGUCUACGGAUCAAAGGCUUCGGCCGCCCGGGGAUGGGCCUGCGUCCCAUUAUUUAAUCCUAGUUGGCGGGGUAACGGCCCACCAAGGGUACGAUGGGUAGCUGGUCUGAGAGGAUGAUCAGCCACACUGGAACUGAGACACGGUCCAGACUCCUACGGGAGGCAGCAGUAGGGAAUAUUGGACAAUGGGCGGAAGCCUGAUCCAGCCAUCCCGCGUGUAGGAAUAAGGCCCUAUGGGUUGUAAACUACUUUAGGUUAGGAAGAAAACUUUAGAUUUAUCAGAGCUUGACGGUACCUAAGGAAUAAGCACCGGCUAACUCCGUG
rnacentral:rRNA from 1 species